UCUAGUAAAAGAAGAGAAAGAGAGUCCCAUCACUUUGGAAAAAUGAAAUUCAUCAUGUUACAGGAGGUUGGAGUGCAGAGGUUCAGAGGUGUGGCUACAGGAACUGUAAGACUUUCCCUCUUCUAUCUCAUACAAUACAUGAAAAUACCCUCCCAGGUGGCAUGCCCAACAUUAUUUAUUCAUUGCUUGGCCAGCAGUUACACUGGCUACAACCCAACAUCUCUUCAUGUAGAACGAAUAUCCACCUGUGAAGAUACACUAUACCAGAACUAUACAAACCUCAUGCAGAAUAGCAACUUGUGAAAUAUACGUCAAUGGCUUGGUACCACUGUCUAACAGCAAAUGCAAUGCACAACAACUGUGAAAUACACAACAACAAUGCACAAUAUACAACCACAAUACAUAAUUGCAAUGCACAACUCCAUCUUCACCACUAUCAGAAUAUGUCCAGUGCACUGUGACAAAUAAUGUUGUUAGCAUGUAUGGCGUGAUUAACAUUUGUGUAUGUCACCAACAGGAUGCUGGCUUUUACCUGUGAAGUUUCAACCACCAAUUCCAUUUUGUUUCAUAUUAGGUGGACUACAGGAUUGGCUAAUGGAUGCUAGUUUUUUGAGGGAGGGAAUGGAAGUGCUAUGAUUUUCUGGCCUUUCUUCUUCUUGAUAAUAAACAAUAUUGCUGAUCAAGCCUUCAAUCAUUUUUCCUUCAGUCCUCGCCUCUCUAGCCCACCCCCCUUGCCAUGUUCUUGUUCAAAUUCAUACAAGACAGGUAUCAUGAUUCAUAUAGUCUUGUGUCAUUUACACUCAGGUAAGAAAGAUAUUAAAUAUUUCCAAAUUAAAGUCAGUAACAGAACCAAAUCUGUUUUGAAGGAGUGUUUGCUAAAUUCUCUAAGGCAAAUAUGGCUUGUUUUCCACUAAUGAAACAUAAAAUCUAGAACCAUAAUAAUGAGUCAAAAGAGUCCUUCCUCUGUUUUGUGUUAUGCACCAAGAAACCACUUCCAAUCCACCACUGAAGUAUGUGGGUUUUGGAGGUACUUCUGCUGAACUCAUGUUGAGGAAUCUUGCAUGACUGGCACACAUUUUUUCAGCUUUGGAAAAGAUUUUUAGGGGGCAUGGAUGGGUUGCAAAGAGAGAAUGAAAAGACCUGCCUUGUAUUCAUGUAAUACUGAAUGUAAUUUAUACAACAGCCUACCACAGUCUAAAACCGGGAUAACAUAUUAUCUCACUGUAUUUUCUAUUUAUGCCUACAUAGCAUGCGUUACAUUUCCUUUCUCUUUUUAGCCCCAAAUGGUUAGAUAGUAACAAGGACAGCACAAUCACCAUCUCCCUGUGAUAAAGCAAAAGUGGAAUAGAGAGGAACCAACUAUCACGUUGACAAGCUGGAAUGUGUCCAGAAGAGGGUGAGACUAAAAUGAUCAAGGGCCUAGAGAACAAGCCCUAUGAGGAGCGGCUUAAAGAGCUGGGCAUGUUUAGCCUGCAGAAGAGAAGGCUGAGAGGAGACAUGAUAGUCAUGUACAAAUACGUGAGGGGAAGUCAUAGGGAGGAGGAGCAAGCUUGUUUUCUGCUAUCCUGGAGACAAGAACCCAGAAUAAUGGCUUCAAACUACAGGAAAGGAGAUUCCACCUGAACAUUGGGAAGAACUUUCUCACUGUGAGAGCUUUUCAGCAGUGGAACUCUCUGCCCUGGAGUGUGGUGGAGACUCCUUCUUUGGAGGCUUUUAAACUGAGGCUGGAUGGCCAUCUGUCGGGGGUGCUUUGAAUGCCAUUUUCCUGCUUCUUGGCAGGGGGUUGGACUGGAUGGCCCACAAGGUCUCUUCCAAUUCUAUGAUUCUAUGAUUUUGUUACUACAAUUUAUGUGUGUGUCUGUAUCUCUUAUAAUGGGCUGGUCUAACCUCCAAUUUGCUGGUAAAACUGAAUUACUGUGUCACGAAAUGAUGCAUGUCUAAAAAGUGUGUCACCAACAUGAAAUGUCUGGAAAACUCUACUGUAAAAGAAGAAACCAGAUGUACUAUUUGGGCAUUCAUAAAAAGGCAGGAAGCAAUAUAAAGGAAGUAAUAAAAAUCUGGGACUGUAUUUAUUUGCCUUAAAACAAUAUAGGGAAACAUCUAAGAAGUAGUUAACAGGAAGAACCAGUAAACGGGAAUUUAAGUCAAAAGAUCAAAUUAUUAGACUGACUAAUAAGAGGUUUU